CCUACGGGGUGCAGCAGUAGGGAAUCUUCCACAAUGGGCGAAAGCCUGAUGGAGCAACGCCGCGUGGGUGAAGAAGGUCUUCGGAUCGUAAAACCCUGUUGUUAGAGAAGAAAGUGCGUGAGAGUAACUGUUCACGUUUCGACGGUAUCUAACCAGAAAGCCAUGGCUAACUACGUGCCAGCAGCCGCGGUAAUACGUAGGUGGCAAGCGUUAUCCGGAUUUAUUGGGCGUAAAGGGAACGCAGGCGGUCUUUUAAGUCUGAUGUGAAAGCCUUCGGCUUAACCGGAGUAGUGCAUUGGAAACUGGGAGACUGGAGUGCAGAAGAGGAGAGUGGAACUCCAUGUGUAGCGGUGAAAUGCGUAGAUAUAUGGAAGAACACCAGUGGCGAAAGCGGCUCUCUGGUCUGUAACGGACGCUGAGGUUCGAAAGCGUGGGUAGCAAACAGGAUUAGAUACCCGGGUAGUC
rnacentral:rRNA from 1 species